rnacentral:tRNA from 1 species
GCCUGACUGGCUCAGUCAGUGGAGCAUGUGACUUUUGAUCGCAGGGUCAUGAGUUCAAGCCCCAUGUUGGGCC